rnacentral:lncRNA from 1 species
GGGAGCAUCUGAGCCCGUGCUCAGAAGCGAAUUACUCUGUGCUAUUCUGAACAGAAUAAAAAAAUCAAUAUUGCUGAAUUAUUUUUGAACUAUGGAAGGAAGUGUUUUCACAUAUUUGAGGAAUAUAUGAUCCAAAGUAUUUAUGAGAAUUUUUCAAAUUUUUUUGGAAUGACAGAAUAGUAGGUUGCUUCACAAAUCAGGCGGGUUUGACGCGUGACAUAGAAUACACC